GGGCGGCCCCCAACAUCCUGUAUCUGUCGCUCUGUGGGCUUGUGUUAGGGCCUGACUGCUCUCCCCACAGCCACCCCUCCACCGUGGGGAAUCCAUCACCAUGAUCCGGGCCUGGGACAGUGGCUGGCCAUCCAGUCACAGGGGAGGGGUGGACAGUCCCUCUGCCUGGGCCUGGCCUUCACAGAAUCAGAUUCGGCUGAACCAGGAUGUGCUCUGGCAUUAGGGUGAUUUUCUCUUUUAACUUCCACAGAUCCAUCAAUUGUACAUUCAAGGUUUAAAAAAACCAAUGCAAAGGACCUCUGGGAAUUUUAUUAUGUACCUACCAAGAUAUUUGAAACCUGAAGAGGAAAAAUAAAAGCAAACAAAUAAAAAGCAAAGCAAAUAAAUAAAAUCAAUAAAAAUCAAUAAAAUCAAUCAAAUCAAUAAAAGCAAAGCAAAGGGGAAAGGGAAAAGUAAAUGGGCUGGAAGUAGACAGGGCGUAUCAUAGCCCUCAGGGCCUCUUCUGCACGUGGACUCCACCAACAGGGGUACAGCCCUAAACAGCAGUGCUGGUCCUCCAGAUGCCCGGGGACUGUGUGGUGCCCAAAUCAUGUCACCUUGACACCACGCAGUAGAGGGAACACUAGGAAGGCUGUAAACCCCAGCGCAGUCAGUAAGAAUGUAUCACUAUCCGCCUUCACUUGCAACAAAUGUAUCCUACCAGAGCCCUGUUCAUAACUGGAUGAAGGGGUGAGAGGAAGUAGAGAACUCCCUGCAUUCUGCUCCGUUUUUCUGUAAAGGUAAGCCUGCUUCAAAAGCUAAAAUCCAUUCCUUAAAAACAGAUCCCCUGCAUCCAAGUCCUUCCUGCCCCGUCCCCUCCCUUUAAAAUCUUGGAUUGAGAAAUGACAGGAUGACCGAGCCCCUGGAAACAUAAAUAAAUAUUGAAUAGAAGUCUGUUCAUCCCAACAGCAGCCUCAGUGCACGCUGAGGGUGACACUGGCCCUGCUGCGUGCACGGCCUCCUGUCCCCGAGGCACACAGCUCUCCACUUGCUGUCCCUUCCCCGAGUUCCACAAGGCCCUGCAAGGGUUAAGGACCUCACCUCGGGGUUGUGUCCUGUGAAGGUUGCUCAUUACCUUUCCCUUCACACUUCCAGGGCCAGGACUUCUUUCUCAGCCUGAGGUUAAUCUGAUUAGAGGUAAGGUGCUAAUAACUUAAAUGAAUGCCCUUAAAACAGCACCCGAUAAAAUCUGUGUGUAAACCUGGACUCCCCAAAGGCCAGCAGCUGGAAUGUCAGGCAUGUGGGUCGCUGGAGGAGCAGGCGGGAGGCCCUUCCCUGUCUGCCUGCUAAUCCCUCUGAUCGCACUGUAUCUGCGUGUGCAGUGCCACCUCGCCGUGACUCUUAGGAGUGCUUGUGAGUCUGACACAGUGCUCAGUACUUCGUAUACAGUGCGUCUCUCUGCUUUCACAACAACCAGGGAAGGGACCAUUGUCUCCGUUUCGCAAGGAGUAACUUCCUGCUGCUGCCAUGGAAAUGCUAAGUUGCUACCAAGUCUCCCGGCUUCAUCCUCAGGUGCAGCCCAGCCUGCAGCCCCUGCUCAGACAGAGUCUUGCCCAUACGAGACGUCAGACUCUGGGAACGAGUCCUGCUUCCUGUCCUCAGGAGGCCUCCCCUCAUGCCACCCCUCCUACCCAGCCAGACGUGGGAAUGCAUCUCAACUGGGAGCCUAUGGGUCUCUGAUACAAAGAUGCCUUUCCAAGCAGUGGCUUGAACAGGGUGGACCAAGGGGCAGCUGAUGGGGUGGGGAGUCUUCUAUCUCAUGAAAUGGAACUCAAGGCCCAGAGCCCCCACCUGCAGGGCAGAGGGCCCUUCCUCAGCUCAGCAAGGGCAUUCCCGGGGCUCCGGCCCUGCCCGGACACUCACUCCCCUGUGAUGAGCUUUCCCAGGAGUCCCUACCACAGGUUUACCCUCUCAUGCUGGGCCCCGAUUGGCUAAAGAGCCUCCCCCAUCUACCACCGGAAGUGUAGCGUGGGGCCUGGAGCCAUCCUUCUCUGCAGCAUAGGGAUGCAGUAGGUGGAGGAGAGGGAGGCUGGAGCUGGAGCAGUGGGCAGCCUCUGGCAUGUGCCUUUCCACAGAGCCCUUCCCUUCCAUCCUCCCACUUCCCCAGGCUCAAAGUCACACAUCUGUUAGACUCAGUGUUCACACGAGUCAUUAGCAUCCUCUUCCCUAGUGGACUAUAAACAUCAUAAGAGCGAAGAUGGUGCCUGGUUCUGUUAAUUACUGAAUUGCUGAUCCCUGGCAGAGCCUGAUGGGUAGUAGAUGCCCUAAAACAGUGAUGGAGAACCUUGGCACGCGUGCCACAGUGGGCUACUUAUAUCACUGAAAGCUCUGAAAGGUUCGCCAUCGCAGCUUUGAUAUCAGCAGAAUGAAUAAAUGAACUUGAGUGAACAGGGAGCAAACAUUAAGCUCUAUGAAAGUGUUUUCUUCGUUAAGGCAUUUCUAAUUAUCCAAUCUUGUAGGGAAAGAGGAAAAGGUAACAACUGAAUUUCUACAUAUUCAGGGAUCUGCAGACAGAUGGAAAGAAACGGGCACAGUGGGCUCCAGCUUGCCUAGAAGGCGCCCACAAAAUAGAGCACUGGACGGCCAUGGGCCAUGGGCCAUAAGCAAGAUGUCGACUGCUCCCUGGCCAGUCCGAAAGAGUCCCUUAGUUUUGGGUCCACUAUGCAGCGCUGGCUGCCUAACAUGAAGCUAGAGGCCCAGAAAGCCCUGGCUUCAUCAUUAGUAUCCCAGGCACAACUCGAAGGUGGGGGAUUAAUCCCUCUGACAGGCACAUGAUAUCUGGAAGCCUCUGGCAUACUUCUGCGGGAAAAGUCCUACCAGCAGGCCUCUAAAACUUUCCCUGAACGUCGGCGGUGACAAUGUUCAGCUCACAAAAAACUUCAGCGACGAUUUGCUAACCACUUCAGCUUGCACCUGGGACCUGGGGACUGAGGGGAGGGGGAGGCGAGACCCCCAGGACACAGCACAGACCAGAGGCAGAAAGAGGCCGGGGACCCAGGCUGCCACUCUGCACACAGCCCACUCAGCCUUCAGCAGGGCACAGCACAGAGGCCACAGUGGGAACAAGGAGCCCCCCACCCACCCCC